AGUGCUAUUCAUGUGCAAGA
rnacentral:miRNA from 1 species